UACGGGAGGCAGCAGUGGGGAAUAUUGGACAAUGGGCGAAAGCCUGAUCCAGCCAUGCCGCGUGUGUGAAGAAGGUCUUCGGAUUGUAAAGCACUUUAAAGUUGGGAGGAAGGGCAGUCAGCGAAUACCUUGCUGUCUUGACGUUACCGACAGAAUAAGCACCGGCUAACUCUGUGCCAGCAGCCGCGGUAAUACAGAGGGUGCAAGCGUUAAUCGGAAUUACUGGGCGUAAAAGCGCGCGUAGGUGGUUUUGUUAAGUUGAAUGUGAAAUCCCUGGGCUCAACCUGGGAACUGCAUCCAAAACUGGCAAGCUAGAUAGGGCAGAGGGUGGUGGAAUUUUCCUGUGUAGCGGUGAAAUGCGUAGAUAUAGGAAGGAACACCAGUGGCGAAGGCGACCACCUGGGGCUCAUACUGACACUGAGGUGCGAAAGCGUGGGGAGCAAACAGGGAUUAAGGAAU
rnacentral:rRNA from 1 species